rnacentral:rRNA from 1 species
UACGUAGGGUGCGAGCGUUAAUCGGAAUUACUGGGCGUAAAGCGUGCGUAGGCGGUUUGUUAAGUCUGUCGUGAAAGCCCCGGGCUCAACCUGGGAAUGGCGAUGGAUACUGGCGAGCUAGAGUACGGUAGAGGAGAGUGGAAUUCCCGGUGUAGCAGUGAAAUGCGUAGAGAUCGGGAGGAACAUCAGUUGCGAAGGCGGCUCUCUGGACCAGUACUGACGCUGAGGCACGAAAGCGUGGGGAGCAAACAGG